rnacentral:tRNA from 1 species
CAAAAGAUAAGCUAAAUAAGCUGUUGGGUUCAUACCCCAACUAUGGGCAACCUCUUUUGA